rnacentral:rRNA from 1 species
AUUGAACGCUGGCGGCAGGCCUAACACAUGCAAGUCGAGCGGAUGAAGGGAGCUUGCUCCUGGAUUCAGCGGCGGACGGGUGAGUAAUGCCUAGGAAUCUGCCUGGUAGUGGGGGAUAACGUCCGGAAACGGGCGCUAAUACCGCAUACGUCCUGAGGGAGAAAGUGGGGGAUCUUCGGACCUCACGCUAUCAGAUGAGCCUAGGUCGGAUUAGCUAGUUGGUGGGGUAAAGGCCUACCAAGGCGACGAUCCGUAACUGGUCUGAGAGGAUGAUCAGUCACACUGGAACUGAGACACGGUCCAGACUCCUACGGGAGGCAGCAGUGGGGAAUAUUAGACAAUGGGCGAAAGCCCGAUCCAGCCAUGCCGCGUGUGUGAAGAAGGUCUUCGGAUUGUAAAGCACUUUAAGUUGGGAGGAAGGGCAGUAAGUUAAUACCUUGCUGUUUUGACGUUACCAACAGAAUAAGCACCGGCUAACUUCGUG